rnacentral:rRNA from 1 species
UAGUCCACGCCGUAAACGAUGAGUACUAGUUAUUGCGGGUAUUGACCCCUGCAGUGACGCAGCUAACGCAUUAAGUACUCCGCCUGGGGAUUACGGUCGCAAGACUAAAACUCAAAGGAAUUGACGGGGGCCCGCACAAGCGGUGGAUUAUGUGGUUUAAUUCGAAGCAACGCGCAAAACCUUACCUGGGCUUGAACUCCUGAGAAUUCCGGGUAAUUCCGGAAGUGUCCGCAAGGAAAUUCAGUGAGAGGUGCUGCAUGGCUGUCGUCAGCUCGUGUUGUGAAAUGUUGGGUUAAGUCUCGCAACGAGCGCAACCCCUAUCUUUAGUUGCCAGCAUUAAGUUGGGCACUCUAGAGAGACUGCCCGGGUUAACCGGGAGGGAAGGUGGGGAUGACGUCAAGUCCUCAUGGCCCUUAUGUCCAGGGGCUACACACGUAAUACAAUGGUGCAUACAGAGGGGACGCGAACCAGCGA